GAGACCCCCAGCAGCGGGCGCUGCUGUCCUGCCUGGCGAAAAGCCGCAGGGGGGUGUUCACAGGUCGCGCCCGCUUGCGCGCGCUGGUGUUUUUUGGCAGCCAAUGGGCUGUCGCUAGGUGACGUUUUCUGACUGGGGUGGCAGCCAAUGGGCUGUCGCUAGGUGACGAUUUCUGACUGGGGUGGCAGCCAAUGGGUUGUCACUGCCUAGGGGCUGAGAUCGCUGCAGGUGCCCCGGCUUAGAAACAUCUCGAAGCCCCGGGACCAUUUGGAGUCGCUGAAGGGAGGCGGGAAAUCGCCAGGCUGGAGCGCGAGGCUCCUGCGGGCAGCGAACCAGCCACAGGCUCGUGGCGGUGCCGCGGGGGUUGGACCGAACUCCCUGCCCUGGCGGGCGCGCGCAGUGUUUGUAGCCGCAGAAUCCGUUUCUGUCUGCUCUAGCAUGGAUGAGACAGGGAAGAGGAAGCUCAGACCCCAGCACAGGUUUGGGCAGCAAUGGCUCUUGGGUUAUUUGCUGUGCUUGCAGAGGACUUGUCAGGCCAAUGGAGCAGCCCAGCCAGAUGAGGAGCUGAAAGAAGAGGACUUGAGCAGCCCAGACAUCCAACUUGGCAGGAGCUGAGGAGCCCAAGAGUUCUAUCUGGUGAUGGAGGAGGAGCAGCUGUGUAUUUUGCUGAAAUGAU